rnacentral:snoRNA from 1 species
NAGUCUGGAACUAGAGGAUUGUGUUUCUACAGAGGUUGGUCUGGCUGUCCAUGAUGAUGAAGAUGAUGUUUCCUUCAGAGCAGGAAGCUGGUGAGAAGAUGAGAGUCUUCUUCACUGUUGAAGACUGUUCAGUGUUUCUGGAUGAGACACUGAAGGAGGAAACAUUGUCUGAGUGGA